CCGGUGACAAACCGGAAGAAGGUGGGGAUGACGUCAAGUCAGCAUGCCCCUUACGUCCUGGGCUACACACGUACUACAAUGGUAGGGACAAAGGGAAGCGAAGCUGCAAAGUGAAGCAAAUCCCAUCAAACCCUGCCUCAGUUCAGAUCGCAGGCUGCAACUCGCCUGCGUGAAGGAGGAAUCGCUAGUAAUCGCAGGUCAGCAUACUGCGGUGAAUCCGUUCCCGGGCCUUGUACACACCGCCCGUC
rnacentral:rRNA from 1 species